rnacentral:rRNA from 1 species
AGCACCGGCUAACUACGUGCCAGCAGCCGCGGUAAUACGUAGGGUGCAAGCGUUAUCCGGAAUUAUUGGGCGUAAAGGGCUCGUAGGCGGUUCGUCGCGUCCGGUGUGAAAGUCCAUCGCUUAACGGUGGAUCCGCGCCGGGUACGGGCGGGCUUGAGUGCGGUAGGGGAGACUGGAAUUCCCGGUGUAACGGUGGAAUGUGUAGAUAUCGGGAAGAACACCAAUGGCGAAGGCAGGUCUCUGGGCCGUCACUGACGCUGAGGAGCGAAAGCGUGGGGAGCGAACAGGAUUAGAUACCCUGGUAGUCCACGCCGUAAACGGUGGAUGCUGGAUGUGGGGACCAUUCCACGGUCUCCGUGUCGGAGCCAACGCGUUAAGCAUCCCGCCUGGGGAGUACGGCCGCAAGGCUAAAACUCAAAGAAAUUGACGGGGGCCCGCACAAGCGGCGGAGCAUGCGGAUUAAUUCGAUGCAACGCGAAGAACCUUACCUGGGCUUGACAUGUUCCCGACAGCCCCAGAGAUGGGGCCUCCCUUCGGGGCGGGUUCACAGGUGGUGCAUGGUCGUCGUCAGCUCGUGUCGUGAGAUGUUGGGUUAAGUCCCGCAACGAGCGCAACCCUCGCCCUGUGUUGCCAGCACGUCGUGGUGGGAACUCACGGGGGACCGCCGGGGUCAACUCGGAGGAAGGUGGGGAUGACGUCAGAUCAUCAUGCCCCUUACGUCCAGGGCUUCACGCAUGCUACAAUGGCCGGUACAACGGGAUGCGACCUCGUGAGGGGGAGCGGAUCCCUUAAAACCGGUCUCAGUUCGGAUUGGAGUCUGCAACCCGACUCCAUGAAGGCGGAGUCGCUAGUAAUCGCGGAUCAGCAACGCCGCGGUGAAUGCGUUCCCGGGCCUUGUACACACCGCCCGUCAAGUCAUGAAAGUGGGUAGCACCCGAAGCCGGUGGCCCAACCUUUUUGGGGGGAGCCGUCUAAGGUGAGACUCGUGAUUGGGACUAAGUCGUAACAAGGUAGCCGUACCGGAAGGUGCGGCUG